AUCCUUUUGUAGUUCAUAAGUGUGACGACUGAGUUUUCAUGCUUAUGUGUGACAUGUGCCUCCCGAAGAGUCAAUCUUGUUACCAGUGCAUAUCCUCCUUCUGAAA